AAGCGAAAUAAAGGGGCAUUUCUGCUAUAUAAAUGGCACCGUUGGGACAGAGAAACCUGUAUCAUUUGUGGCCAGAGCUAAGGAAUGUAGAUUUGAGCAUCAAAGAGAAAACUUCAAAAUAUCUAUACUAUUGUGUUAAAUAAUUUUACUCUUGAAAUUCUGCAUGUUAAUCCAGACAUACCUUUAAUUAGAUGCACUUAAUAAAGAAAUGUGGAGCUGAAAUUUUUGUCACUUUAGAAUAACCUUAAUCAGAUGAUUAUUGCUAAACUCUAUCAUUCCAUUUUUCAGCACUUGCAGUUCUAUUUACAAAUUGUGUAUUCCUAAAAUUGUAAUCAAAUAAAGAAUUCCAUGCA